CCUACGGGGGGCUGCAGUGGGGAAUAUUGGACAAUGGGCGCAAGCCUGAUCCAGCAAUGCCGCGUGUGUGAAGAAGGCCUGCGGGUUGUAAAGCACUUUGAGUGGGGAAGAAGGCCUGGGGGUUAAUAGCUUCUGGGAUUGACGUUACCCACAGAACAAGCACCGGCUAACUCCGUGCCAGCAGCCGCGGUAAUCCGGAGGGUGCGAGCGUUAAUCGAAGUUACUGGGCGCGGUUGAAUCAGUCUGAUGUGAAAGCCCUGGGCUUAACCUGGGAACUGCAUUGGAUACUGUUUGACUGGAGUGUGGUAGAGGGGUGUGGAAUUUCCGGUGUAGCAGUGAAAUGCGUAGAGAUCGGAAGGAACACCAGUGGCGAAGGCGGCACCCUGGACCGACACUGACGCUGAGGUGCGAAAGCGUGGGGAGCAAACAGGAUUAGAUACCCUUGUAGUC
rnacentral:rRNA from 1 species